rnacentral:rRNA from 1 species
AGAGUUUGAUCCUGGCUCAGGAUGAACGCUGGCGGCGUGCCUAAUACAUGCAAGUCGAGCGAGAAUUUUUCAAAUGACGCUUCGGUUGAAUUUGGAAAAGGACAGCGGCGGACGGGUGAGUAACGCGCAGGCAACCUGCCCCUGACAGAGGGAUAGCCAUUGGAAACGAUGAUUAAAACCUCAUAACGCCGAAGGAACACAUGUUUCAUCGGCCAAAGAUUUAUCGGUCAGGGAUGGGCCUGCGUCUGAUUAACUAGUUGGUGAGGUAACGGCCCACCAAGGUGACGAUCAGUAGCCGACCUGAGAGGGUGAUCGGCCACAUUGGAACUGAGACACGGUCCAAACUUCUACGGAAGGCAGCAGUAGGGAAUCUUGCACAAUGGGCGAAAGCCUGAUGCAGCAACGCCGCGUGAAGGAUGAAGGCCUUCGGGUUGUAACUUCUUUCUUAGGGAAGAAGAAAGUGACGGUGACCUAAGGAGAAAGCCCCGGCUAACUACGUGCCAGCAGCCGCGGUAAUACGUAGGGGGCAAGCGUUAUCCGGAAUUAUUGGGCGUAAAGAGUGCGUAGGUGGUUAUCUAAGCGUAAGGUUUAAGCGUGCAGCUCAACUGCAUCUCGCCUUGCGAACUGGACUACUUGAGUGCAGGAGGGGAAAGCGGAAUUCCUAGUGUAGCGGUGAAAUGCGUAGAUAUUAGGAGGAACACCAGCGGCGAAGGCGGCUUUCUGGACUGUAACUGACACUGAGGCACGAAAGCGUGGGGAGCAAACAGGAUUAGAUACCCUGGUAGUCCACGCCGUAAACGAUGAGCACUAGAUGUUGGUCCCGAAG